rnacentral:rRNA from 1 species
UAGUAACUGCGAGUGAAGUGGGAAAAGCUCAAAUUUAAAAUCUGAUGGUCAAUUUUGGCUAUCCGAGUUGUAAUCUAGAGAAGUGCUUUCUGCGCUGGACUCGUGUAUAAGUCUCUUGGAAUGGAGCAUCAUAGAGGGUGACAAUCCCGUCUUUGACAUGAGAACUACCAGGGCUUUGUGAUGCGCUCUCAAAGAGUCGAGUUGUUUGGGAAUGCAGCUCAAAAUGGGUGGUAAAUUCCAUCUAAAGCUAAAUAUAGGCGAGAGACCGAUAGCGAACAAGUACCGUGAGGGAAAGAUGAAAAGAACUUUGAAAAGAGAGUUAAACAGUACGUGAAAUUGUUGAAAGGGAAACGAUUCAAGUCAGUGUUGUUGACUUUGGUAAUCAACCUUUGCCCACAAGGUUAAAGGCUUAUUUUCCAGUCAAUGGGUCAGCAUCAAUUUUGAUCCAUUGGAUAAAGGCAUAAUGAAUGUAGCAUCAUUUUUGAUGUGUUAAAGCUUUGUGUCACAUACAAUGGUUGAGAUUGAGGAACUCAGCAUGCCCAUUAGGGUUGGAGCAUUUUCAUGCUCACAUUACAUGCUUAGGAUGCUGGCAAAAUGGCUUGAACCGACCCGUCUUGAAACACGGACCAAGGAGUCUAACAUGCCUGCGAGUGUUUGGGUAGAAAACUCAAGCGCGAAGUGAAAGUGAAGUCUAGUCGAGAUCUCUGUCGUAGAGAGCACCGAUGCCUGGACCAGACCUUCUGUGACGGAUCCACGGUAGAGCAUGCAUGUUGGGACCCGAAAGAUGGUGAACUAUGCCUGAAUAGGGUGAAGCCAGAGGAAACUCUGGUGGAGGCUCGUAGCGAUUCUGACGUGCAAAUCGAUCGUCGAAUUUGGGUAUAGGGGCGAA